GUGAAUUAAAUUAUGAAUAAGUGUGAAUACGUGAAUUGAGUAUUGACUGAAAAGUGGUUUGAUUCGAAUCGAGGUAUGAUUUGUGAAAUAUGUAUUGGUACUGAAUUGUAUAUUGAUUUGAAAGUGGGAAGUGAAUUUGAAAUAGAAAAAUGUAUUGAAUCAAAUGGUGAUUAAAUUGUAUAAUGAUUUGAAUUGAAAGUAUGAGAAAGUGAUUGAAUUGAAA
rnacentral:lncRNA from 1 species